rnacentral:rRNA from 1 species
UACAGAGGGGGCAAGCGUUGUUCGGAAUUACUGGGCGUAAAGGGCGCGUAGGCGGCCUUCUAAGUCGAACGUGAAAUCCCCGGGCUCAACCCGGGAACUGCGUCCGAUACUGGAAGGCUUGAAUCCGGGAGAGGGAUGCGGAAUUCCAGGUGUAGCGGUGAAAUGCGUAGAUAUCUGGAGGAACACCCGUGGCGAAGGCGGCAUCCUGGACCGGCAUUGACGCUGAGGCGCGAAAGCCAGGGGAGCAAACGGG